UAGCGGGAGGCCUAACACAUGCAAGCCGAGCGGUAGAGUUUCUUCGGAAACUUGAGAGCGGCCCACGGGUGCGGAACACGUGUGCAACCUGCCUUUAUCUGGGGGAUAGCCUUUCGAAAGGAAGAUUAAUACCCCAAAAUAUACUGAAGGGCAUCUUUCGGUAUUGAAAACCCCGGGGGAUAGAGAGGGGCACGCCCAAAAUUAAAUAGUUGGGGAGGUAACGGCUCCCCAAGUCUGCGAUCUUUAGGGGGCCUGAGAGGGUGAUCCCCCACACUGGUACUGAAACACGGACCAAACCCCUACGGGAGGCAGCAGUGAGGAAUAUUGGACAAGGGGGGAGAGCCUGAUCCAGCCAUCCCGCGUAAGGACGACGGCCCUAUGGGUUGUAAACUUCUUUUGUAUAGGGAUAAACCUACUCUCGUGAGAGUAGCUGAAGGUACUAUACGAAUAAGCACCGGCUAACUCCGUGCCAGCAGCCGCGGUAAUACGGAGGGUGCAAGCGUUAUCCGGAUUUAUUGGGUUUAAAGGGUCGGAAGGCGGAUCUGUAAAUCAGUGGUUAAAUCUCACAUCUUUACUGUGAAACUGCCAUUGAUACUGCAUGUCUUGAGUGUUAUUGAAGUAGCCGGACCCAGUAGUGUAGCGGUGAAAUGCAUAGAUAUUACUUAGAACACCUAUUGCGAAGGCAGGUUACUAAGCAACUACUGACGCUGAUGGACGAAAGCGUGGGGAGCGAACAGGAUUAGAUACCCUGGUAGUCCACGCCGUAAACGAUGCUAACUCGUUUUUGGGGCUUCGGCUUCAGAGACUAAGCGAAAGUGAUAAGUUAGCCACCUGGGGAGUACGAACGCAAGUUUGAAAUUCAAAGGAAUUGACGGGGGCCCGCACCAGCGGUGGAUUAUGUGGUUUAAUUCGAUGAUACGCGAGGAACCUUACCAAGGCUUAAAUGGGAAAUGACAGGUUUAGAAAUAGACUUUUUUUCGGACAUUUUUCAAGGUGCUGCAUGGUUGUCGUCAGCUCGUGCCGUGAGGUGUUAGGUUAAGUCCUGCAACGAGCGCAACCCCUGUCACUAGUUGCCAUCAUUAAGUUGGGGACUCUAGUGAGACUGCCUACGCAAGUAGAGAGGAAGGUGGGGAUGACGUCAAAUCAUCACGGCCCUUACGCCUUGGGCCACACACGUAAUACAAUGGCCGGUACAGAGGGCAGCUACACAGCGAUGUGAUGCAAAUCUCGAAAGCCGGUCUCAGUUCGGAUUGGAGUCUGCAACUCGACUCUAUGAAGCUGGAAUCGCUAGUAAUCGCGCAUCAGCCAUGGCGCGGUGAAUACGUUCCCGGGCCUUGUACACACCGCCCGUCAAGCCAUGGAAGUCUGGGGUACCUGAAGUCGGUGACCGUAACAGGAGCUGCCUAGGGUAAAAC
rnacentral:rRNA from 1 species